GUCUCAGUUCGGAUUGGAGUCUGCAACCCGACUCCAUGAAGCUGGAUUCGCUAGUAAUCGCGCAUCAGCCACGGCGCGGUGAAUACGUUCCCGGGCCUUGUACACACCGCCCGUCAAGCCAUGGGAGUCGGGAGUGCCUGAAGUGCGUGAGCGCGAGUAGCGCCCUAGGGUAAAACCGGUGACUGGGGCUAAGUCGUAACAAGGUAAC
rnacentral:rRNA from 1 species